rnacentral:tRNA from 3 species
GCCCCUAUAGCCCAAUUGGCAGAGGCAACGGACUUAAAAUCCGUACAGUGUCGGUUCGAGUCCGACUGGGGGCACCA